UACGGAGGGUGCAAGCGUUGUUCGGAAUUAUUGGGCGUAAAGCGCGUGUAGGCGGUCAUGUAAGUCAGAUGUGAAAGCCUCCCGCUUAACGGGAGAAGUGCAUUUGAAACUGCAUGACUGGAGUACGGGAGAGGAGAGUGGAAUUCCCGGUGUAGAGGUGAAAUUCGUAGAUAUCGGGAGGAACACCAGUGGCGAAGGCGGCUCUCUGGCCUGAUACUGACGCUGAGACGCGAAAGCGUGGGGAGCAAACAGG
rnacentral:rRNA from 1 species